rnacentral:rRNA from 1 species
AGCAGCCGCGGUAAUUCCAGCUCCAAUAGCGUAUAUUAAAGUUGUUGCAGUUAAAAAGCUCGUAGUUGAAUUUCGGGGUUCAUACGUUGGUCGGGCUUUUUUGGUCUGUACUUAUGUAAUGGAUUCCUACCUUCUGAAUAACCGGCAUGCCAUUAAUUUGGUGCGCCGGGGAAGCAGGACUGUUACCUUGAAAAAAUUAGAGUGCUUAAAGCAGGCUAUCGCCUGAAUACAUUAGCAUGGAAUAAUGAAAUAGGACGGCAUGGUUCUAUUUUGUUGGUUUCUAGGAUCACCGUAAUGAUUAAUAGGGAUAGUUGGGGGCAUUAGUAUUCAAUUGUCAGAGGUGAAAUUCUUGGAUUUAUUGAAGACUAACUUCUGUGAAAGCAUUUGCCAAGGAUGUUUUCAUUAAUCAAGAACGAAAGUUAGGGGAUCGAAGACGAUCAGAUACCGUCGUAGUCUUAACCAUAAACUAUGCCGACUAGGGAUCGGACGAUGUUAAUUUUUAAAUGACUCG